GUUGUAGUAGUGUAGACCCAACAACACGUCGGCCUUGUAAACCGAAAAGGGGACGCCAACAUCCCCUACAACU
rnacentral:tRNA from 1 species